rnacentral:rRNA from 1 species
UACAGAGGGCUCAAGCGUUGUUCGGAUUCAUUGGGCGUAAAGGGCGCGUAGGCGGCGCGGUAAGUCGGGUGUGAAAUCUCGGGGCUUAACUCCGAAACUGCAUUCGAUACUGCCGUGCUUGAGGACUGGAGAGGAGACUGAAAUUUACGGUGUAGCGGUGAAAUGCGUAGAUAUCGUAAGGAAGACCAGUGGCGAAGGCGGGUCUCUGGACAGUUCCUGACGCUGAGGCACGAAGGCCAGGGGAGCAAACGGG